GGGCCUUUAGCUCAGCUGGUAGAGCACCUGGUUUACACCCAGGGGGUCGUCGGUUCGAACCCGGCAGGGCCCACGA
rnacentral:tRNA from 1 species